AACGAACGCUGGCGGCAUGCCUAACACAUGCAAGUCGAGCGAGGCCUUCGGGUCUAGUGGCGCACGGGUGCGUAACGCGUGGGAAUCCGCCCUUCGCUUCGGAAUAACAGUUAGAAAUGACUGCUAAUACCGGAUGAUGUCUUCGGACCAAAGAUUUAUCGGCAAAGGAUGAGCCCGCGUAGGAUUAGGUAGUUGGUGGGGUAAAGGCCUACCAAGCCGACGAUCCUUAGCUGGUCUGAGAGGAUGAUCAGCCACACUGGGACUGAGACACGGCCCAGACUCCUACGGGAGGCAGCAGUGGGGAAUAUUGGACAAUGGGCGCAAGCCUGAUCCAGCAAUGCCGCGUGAGUGAUGAAGGCCUUCGGUCGUAAGCUCUUUUACCUAGGGAUGAUAAUGACAGUACCUGGAGAAUAAGACUCCGGCUAACUCCGUGCCAGCAGCCGCGGUAA
rnacentral:rRNA from 1 species